UUUGUUAUCAAUUUAAAGUUAAAAGUUUAAUCUUUAAAAUGGUGCUACUUUUUUUGUUACUAACAAAUUGGUUAGUACACAAGAUCGCGUGGAAACAACUUCAUGUAAGUGAUUCCAUACUUUUGCUCGCAAGUGUACAUUUACUAGACAAGUUAAUUUUGAGUUUUGUCCUGCUUCUAGGUAUUCUAUUGAAAAUAAGGAGAAUUCUGUGUCUGAAAUAUAAUCAGACCAGUAAUCUUGCACAUACUCCGGAGAGUAAUCCAUGAUUGCUGCCAACAUGAAACGUUUAAACUAAACAAUAAAGCCAACCUUAAGAAACUAAUCGAUUGCGUUCUCAUUUACCAACACUCCCUCUAGAACGCAAACCCAUUUCAUUAAUACAAUACAAAUGCUUAGCAAGCGUUACACCCUUGGUUAAAUUGUCAGCUACCAUGUAACUACCAUUAACAAAUAGAAAUUUAACUUUACAAUCAACAACAUUCUCUCUUAGGAAAUGCAACUUUAUAUCUAUGUGUUUAGUUUUAGGUUUAUAACAUUCAUUUGAAGCUAGUCUUAUUGCACUUUGGUUAUCACUAUAGAUUAGUAACGCAGUGUCCACUCCUUGGCCGAGCUCAGCUUGCAAUUGCCGAAGCCACAACGCCUCCUGGGUCGCCGAAGCCAUCGCCAUAUAUUCAGCCUCUGCAGUCGAGAGCGCCACAGUCUGCUGCUUACACGAGUUCCAAGAUAUGCAAGCAUUCUGAAAAAUAAAAGAAUAACCAGAGCAUGAUCUUCUAUUAUGUGGGUCACUAGCCCAGUCUGCGUCGCAAUACCCGGUUAUUUCCAUGGAGUCAUCUUUGACAUAAUGGUACGUUUACACGCUUGCCAAGCCUUCGCAAGCGGCAAACAGCUCCAAGCCUCCACAAAUCUCGUUUGGCGUUUGAAAGGAGUUUACACGCUUGGGAACGCGUCAGUCUGCAAGAUAGAUCCAAGCAUGGCGGACACCGAACUUGUAACGGCUAUUGCAUUUGGUUUAUCGUACUUUUAUUUAAAAUGCAAGCAAAGUGAAACAAAAAAAAGAAAAACUCGACGACAACGAAGAUGGUGGAUGAAAAAGAUUCAUCGAAAUCGUACCAGACAAUUUAUAGAAGAGAAAUUUAAUGAACUUUUAUAUGAACCUUCUGGCGAGUUUGAUAACUUCUGCCGAAUGAGCUAUACCGAUUUUGAAUUUUUACUGCAGAAAAUUUCACCAAUGAUAUCCAAGCAAGAUACAGACUUCAGAGAUGCUAUACCGGCCAAAUUUCGUCUUGCCAUUACGCUACGAUUUUUAGCAUCUGGUGAUUCUUACAAAAGCCUUCACUACAUGUUUAAAGUAUCUGUCUCUAUGAUAUCAAUAACCAUUCGUGAAGUUUGCCGAUCUCUUAAUGAAAUUCUAAAGGAUCUAGUUAAGAUGCCCACCACAGCAGAAGGAUGGCUUAAUAUUGAAGAAGGAUUCAGGACCAAAUUUCCACAUUGCAUAGGGUCAUUGGAUGGCAAGCAUGUAGUCAUUGAAAGCCCAACUCAUAGUGGAACAGAAUAUUUCAAUUAUAAAAAAACUUUUAGCAUUGUCCUUUUGGCGUUAGUGGAUAGCAAAUACAAAUUUGUAUUUGCAGACAUCGGGAGUCAAGGAAGAAUAAGUGACGGUGGCGUGUUUAAUAAUUGUUUACUAUGGAAAAGAAUAUGUAGGAACGAGAUAGAUUUUCCACCGCCACACAGUGGUCCCGAUUUAAUAAAACAUGGACAUUGAUGCUAGAGGCACGAAAAUUUUUUUGAUGGUUACUGCUAUGAUAACUAAUAAGGCAAAAAAAUAUUACAAUCCUACAACGUCUAUUUCGUAGUAAAAAAAAAAUAUAUACAUAUUUUUUGUAUGGAAGAAAUUACGUUUCUGUCAAUUUUUCGAA